UACAGACGGUCCAAACGUUAUUCGGAAUCACUGGGCUUAAAGAGUUCGUAGGCGGUCAAGAAAGUGGGGUGUGAAAGCCCUCGGCUCAACCGAGGAACUGCGCUCCAAACUACCUGACUUGAGGAGGCUAGAGGUAAGCGGAACUGAUGGUGGAGCGGUGAAAUGCGUUGAUAUCAUCAGGAACACCGGAGGCGAAGGCGGCUUACUGGGGCCUUUCUGACGCUGAGGGACGAAAGCUAGGGGAGCGAACGGG
rnacentral:rRNA from 1 species